GAUGAACGCUAGCGACAGGCCUAACACAUGCAAGUCGAGGGGUAGCACAGAAUAGCUUGCUAUUUGGGUGACGACCGGCGCACGGGUGAGUAACGCGUAUGCAACCUGCCUAUAAGGGGGGGAUAGCCUUUCGAAAGAAAGAUUAAUACCGCAUAAUACUAUUUACCUGCAUGGGUAGAUAGUUAAACUAAUUGGCUUAUAGAUGGGCAUGCGUUCCAUUAGAUAGUUGGUGAGGUAACGGCUCACCAAGUCAGCGAUGGAUAGGGGUUCUGAGAGGAAGGUCCCCCACACUGGUACUGAGACACGGACCAGACUCCUACGGGAGGCAGCAGUGAGGAAUAUUGGUCAAUGGGCGAGAGCCUGAACCAGCCAAGUCGCGUGAAGGAUGAAGGUCUUAUGGAUUGUAAACUUCUUUUAUAAGGGAAUAAAAAAGAUCACGUGUGGUCUAUUGCAUGUACCUUAUGAAUAAGCAUCGGCUAACUCCGUGCCAGCAGCCGCGGUAAUACGGAGGAUGCGAGCGUUAUCCGGAUUUAUUGNGUUUAAAGGGUGCGUAGGCGGNUUAUUAAGUCAGUGGUGAAAGUUUUCGGCUCANCCGGAAAAUUGCCAUUGAAACUGA
rnacentral:rRNA from 1 species